CCUACGGGAGGCAGCAGUGGGGAAUAUUGCACAAUGGGCGCAAGCCUGAUGCAGCCAUGCCGCGUGUGUGAAGAAGGCCUUCGGGUUGUAAAGCACUUUCAGCGGGGAGGAAGGCGUUAAGGUUAAUAACCUUGGCGAUUGACGUUACCCGCAGAAGAAGCACCGGCUAACUCCGUGCCAGCAGCCGCGGUAAUACGGAGGGUGCAAGCGUUAAUCGGAAUUACUGGGCGUAAAGCGCACGCAGGCGGUCUGUCAAGUCGGAUGUGAAAUCCCCGGGCUCAACCUGGGAACUGCAUUCGAAACUGGCAGGCUAGAGUCUUGUAGAGGGGGGUGGAAUUCCAGGUGUAGCGGUGAAAUGCGUAGAGAUCUGGAGGAAUACCGGUGGCGAAGGCGGCCCCCUGGACAAAGACUGACGCUCAGGUGCGAAAGCGUGGGGAGCAAACAGGAUUAGAUACCCGGGUAGUC
rnacentral:rRNA from 1 species